AGCUCGCUUAAGUGUUAUUAUGAUUCCCACUCAGAUAUUCCUUAUACUGCUUCCACAUCUGCUCAGCAAUAUUAUCCCAUUUUUUCAUCAUUUCAUCACUAUUCUCUUGAACAUCUGCAGGAACUGUUUCUCUUCUUUCCUCCUCAAUAUUAGAAUUCUCAUCAUAUUGAGUCAAUUUGAGUUGUUAUAGAGAAUCCAUCUCAACAUCAAUUAUAGAUUUGAAAUCGCCGUUUAAACACCCCAAACACACACUCAAUUACACCUCACAAGCUCACAUGGCAA
rnacentral:sRNA from 2 species